rnacentral:ncRNA from 1 species
GGUCCUAGCCUUAAAUCAGUUUUUACCCCAAUAUACACAUGCAAGUCUCCGCACCCCUGUGAAAACGCCCUUAUUCCCCCCCUAGGGUCAAGGAGCUGGUAUCAGGCACAAAAAUUGGCCCAAGACACCUAGUUAUGCCACACCCACACGGGCUUCCAGCAGUGAUUAAUAUUGAACAUAAGCGACAGCUUGAUUCAGUCAGGGUAAAAAGAGCCGGCAAAUAUGGUGCCAGCCGCCGCGGUUACACCAUGUGGCUCGAAUUGUAUCUUUUCGGCGUAAAGCGUGAUUUAAGCAAACAUCAAACUAGAGCUAAACUUGAAUUAAGCUGUGGUAAGCUUGUCAUUUAGGAAAUUCAAAAACGAAAGUUGCUCUAAUUCAACCAACUUGAACUCACGAAAGUUAGGACACAAACUGGGAUUAGAUACCCCACUAUGCCUAACCAUAAACCUAAACUACUACCAAAUCGCCAGGGAACUACGAGCAAAGCUUAAAACCCAAAGGACUUGACGGUACCCCAUAUCCCCCUAGAGGAGCCUGUCCUAUAAUCGAUGACCCCCGUUGAACCUCACCAUUUCUAGUUUAUUCAGCCUGUAUACCUCCGUCGUCAGCUUACCGCGUGAGCGACCUACAGUGAGCUUAAUGGUUAUACACCAAUACGUCAGGUCAAGGUGCAGCAAAUGAAAUGGAAGCAGAUGGGCUACACUUUCUAAUUUAAGCUAAAAAACGAAAGACUCUAUAUGAAACCUAGUCAGAAGGCGGAUUUAGAAGUAAGAGGAAAUCAGAACAUUCCCCUUAACCUGGCACUGGGGUGUGUACACACCGCCCGUCACCCUCUUCAAAGACUACAUUCACAGUAUCUAACCAACCUAAACAUGAAAGAAGAGGUAAGUCGUAACAUGGUAAGUAUACCGGAAGGUGUACUUGGACA